rnacentral:lncRNA from 1 species
GAUCUUAUUUCUGUUGCAGCCAAAGAUGCUCUUGUGAUGCUUUGAAGCUGCCAUUGAUGUUCUGGUUUGGAGAGAACACAGCAGAAUCAGUGUUCCACCCUGCUGGCCCUCUCAUGUACAUGAAGCAAAGCCCUGGACAUGGGCCGCGCCUUUCUAUGAUUUAGGAACUUAAAAGUACAGAGCCAGCCUUUUAUGAUGGCUGCAGGACAAGCCUGAACUUUCACUCCUCUUUCUUGUUGUUUUUCAUGAUUUUCAUUUUUUUUCUCCUUUUUGGAUAAAGUAGCUUUUCCUCCCAAUUUUCAAUAUUAUCUUUGUAGUUUCUUUUAUCUUGAGAGAUGAGUACAAUGAUGUAGUAGAAUAGAGAAAAACAUGGCAGAAAAGCAUGACAAAGUGCAAUAGUCAUAGAGACUGAUUUUUAAAUAGAUUUCAGGGGUAAAACUCUCUGAAAAAGUAGUAUGUGAGCAGUGGUGAUAUACCAGCCAGGUGAGAGACUGGCACAGGGUAAAGAAAACCUCCCUCUCAUCUCUGAAGACACAGCAAGCAAGUCUUUUGAAGUAAAUUGACAGAAUUGUCUAUAUGUAUCCUACAGACAAAAGGUAAGCAUGCCAACAUCCAACAAGGCUUUGAAGUCCACAUACCAUGACUUAGAUGAGAGAAGUAGCAUCUAUUGAAAGUUGAUAGAGACGAAAGGACCCAAAGAACAGAUAGCCUGAGACGGACUGCUUUGACUCUGGGUGUCAUGUCAUCUUUGCUUAAAGUUUAUCUUCUUUCAUAUAUUACAGAGACGGCUCGUGAUCAUUGCCUUCCUUUUGGAAGAACACCGAUAAGGAAACCACAGAAAAAAAAUUUCCUGGACUUUUGAGAAGGAAAAGAUGGAGAUGGGACAAAAAGAAUGAAAAGAUCAACAAGACACAACACUGGCCACAAGACUACUUUGGGAAAAUACUGAAAGCAGAUGAAAAAUAAGUUUUUUCACAGGUCAAUCUAGCCUUGGAGCAGCAUGUACAGAGAGAGGUCAGAGCUGAGGGAGCGUCAGAGAGGAACACAACAGAGAGAGAGAGAGAGAGAGAGAGAGAGAGAGAGAGAGAGAGAGAGAGAGAGAGAGAUCAUGCAGAUGCAGUUCAUAGUUCCUUGCCUACUACUGUAGAGAAGUCCACUCUUUGACAGUAAUCAACAUAGUAACUUCUGUUGUGCUUUGAGAAGAGUUCAUGCCCUAACAUGUCAUGGACCAGCAUUAGGGUAUCUUUUUCUCUUUGUUUGUUUGUUUUUGGUUGUUGUUUGUUUGUUUGUUUGUUUGUUUGUUUUUGUUUGUUUGUUUUUGUUUGUUCGUUUCAUUGUUUCUUCCUUCCUUCCACUAUCUUUUUUCUCUUCCUCCCUCCCUCCCUCUCUCCUUCCCACCUUCCCUCCCUCUUUCCCUAUUCUUUCCGUUUUCUUCCUUUUUCUUUCUUUCUCUUUCUCUCUUUCUCUCUCUCUCUCUUUCUUUCUCUCUUUCUUUCUCUCUCUCUCUCUCUCUCUCUUUCUUUCUUUCUUUCUUUCUUUCUUUCUUUCUUCUUCUUUCUUUCUUUUUCUCUCACACAGUGCAUCCUAUCAGUAGCCCCUUUCCUCUCUAUUCCUCCCAGUUGCCACUCCUUACCUCCCCUCUCCCCCAGAUCCAAACCUCCCCCUCACACAUCCACGUUUUCCUUCAGAAAAGAGCAGGCCUCCCAGGGAUAUCAACCAAAUGUGGUAUAACAAGACUAGAUACAACCCUCAUAUGAGGGUUAGGUGAGGAAACCCAGUAAGAGGAAAGGAGUUCAAGAAUAUGUGAAAUAUGGUUUAUUCUAAUACCAAUGUCAGGAGUACCACAAAAAACACCAGGCUAAGAACCACAACAUAUUUGCAAAGACCUAUAUUGCUCAAACUCAUUCACUUGUUCUGUGGUUGCUGCUUCAGUCUCUACGAGAGCCUAUGAGCUCUGCUUAGUUUAUUUGGUGGGUGCUGUUUGAGCCAAAGGCUUAAGGCUACGUUUGAAUAAUGAUGUUAAACUAUAAAACCAUAAGAUGAUGAAGUUGUAGAACAAGGCUGCUGGGAAGUGAUUUAUUGAUGUGUGAGGUGCUCAAAAAUGAAAUUAAUGCAUUUAGAAAGAGACUCUAUAGCAGUCCCUGCCCCUUCCUUCUACUAGCUAAGGAAAAAGUAAAAAUGGGAAGUAGAUCGUCAGACACUAAAUUGGCUAGCAUCUGGGUCUCAUGUUUCUCAGCUUCCAGAGAUAUGAGAAAUAAAAUUCUAUUUUCUACAGCCUAUUCCCUUACAUCUUUUCCUAGUAUCCUGGGAAGAUACCUUAGUACCUGUGUGUGUGUGUGUGUGUGUGUGUAUGUGUGUAUGGGUGUGUGUAUGUGUGUGUGUAUGUGUGUGUAUGGGUGUGUGUAUGUGUGUAUGGGUGUGUGUGUAUGGGUGUAUGGGUGUGUGUGUGUGUGUAUGUGUGUGUGUGUGUGUGUGUGUCCUGGAAUA